rnacentral:pre_miRNA from 7 species
GACCGCUAAUGAAAAUCGAUUUUCACUGGCGGUUGAGUUAAGAAAACUGCCAGUGAAAAUCGAUUUCCACUAGCGGUC